AUCGAACGCUGGCGGCAGGCCUAACACAUGCAAGUCGAACGAGUGGCGGACGGGUGAGCAAUGUCUGGGAAACUGCCUGAUGGAGGGGGAUAACUACUGGAAACGGUAGCUAAUACCGCAUACCAUCGGAUGUGCCCUGAUGGGAUUAGCUAGGAGGUGGGGUAACGGCUAACCUAGGCGACGAUCCCUAGCUGGUCUGAGAGGAUGACCGGCCACACUGGAACUGAGACACGGUCCAGACUCCUACGGGAGGCAGCAGUGGGGAAUAUUGCGCAAUGGGCGCAAGCCUGAUGCAGCCAUGCCGCGUGUGUGAAGAAGGCCUUCGGGUUGUAAAGUACUUUCAGCGAGGAGGCGUUACUCGCAGAGGAAGCACCGGCUAACUCCGUGCCAGCAGCCGCGGUAAUUC
rnacentral:rRNA from 1 species